UUAAGAUUAGGAUUAGGAUUUUAGAUUUGAUUAAAGGAUUGGUUAGGAUUAGGAUUUGCUUUAGGUUAGGAUUUGGUUAAGAUUUAUCUAGGAUUUGAUUAGGAUUUAUUUAGGAUUUGUCUAGAAUUUGAUUAAGAUUUAUUUAGGAUUUGGUUAAGAUUUGCUUAAGAUAUGAUUAGGAUUUGAUUAGAAUUUGAUUAAAGUUUGAUUAGAAUUUGUUUAGAGUUUGGUUAGGACUUAUUUAAGAAUUGUCUAGGAUUUGAGUAGGAUUUAUUUAGGAUUUGAUUAGGAUUUGGUUAGAGUUUAUUUAGGAUUUGAUUAGGAUUUGAUUAGGAUUUGACUAAGAUUUGAUUAAACUUUCUUUAGAAUUUGUUUAAGACUUAUUUAGAAGUUGACUACAAUUUGAUAAAUAUUUGAUCAAGAUUUGACUAAGAUUUGAUUAAAGUUUGACUUAUUUUUGACUGGGAUUUAAUUAAGAUUUUUAUUUUAAUAUUUUAUUAAGAUUUUUAUUUUAGUAUAUAUUUUUUUGAAU
rnacentral:lncRNA from 1 species